UUGUAUAAAUUCAAGACUGCUUUUUGCUUUGGGUAUGCACGAUAGGUGGAGAGAUCCCCCGUGCAUCCAGCGCUGCAAUAAAGAAUAUACCACUUAAAGGAAUUUCGGCUUCGAUCUUUGAAUCAAAAGUCACUAUGAAGUCAAUAUGAUGGAGACUGGAACUGCAUAAAGCAGUUUGAAAUAACAGCAGUUCUGCUGAAUGUGGCAUCACUGAACCCAAACUGCAGCUUAAAGGACAUUUGCUUACAGAGCUUGACAAAUUGGAAACGCGUAACAACCCCUGAUGUAUCCUGAAGAUAACGAUUCUUAAUAUUUGUGUGAAGACUGCAUUUGUCUUUUCGUCUUGCACUAAGAGCUGGAUACAGCAAGCAACACGAAUCUCUUAUGCGUUAUGUUUGUGGAUACGUUUGCAGAAGUUUCCUAUCAAAGUGUACUUACAGAUCCACAGAUUGUUACAACUUCGCAGAUAAAUCUUUAAAGGACAACACCUGUACCACCAGCUCACAAGCUACUGCUGUGGCCUUACUGGUUUGUAUUAGAGAAACUGCCACCCACAUACAGAAUAUGUCUGUUAUACCUAUCAAGUAUUUUUGACCUUUUUUGGUUCUGACAACAUCAUAGAAGACGAAUUUGCAGUGUGGGCCACAAUGUAUCACCCACCAAGGCCUAAGAAGAGCAUUCUUUUUACUUAAAAAAUGAUUAUAUGCACAGGUAGUGCAUUUAUUUUAAUUUUCAUUCAUAUCCCUUGUAUUUAUAGCCAUUUCUUUCUAAUGUAUAUUGCUUUUUUGUUCCUUGAAGUCCUCCUGAGAGAACACAAUUGAUUAAACAAAGUUUUUCAGGUUUGUGCUGGUACUGCCCAUUCUAGAUGCUUAUGGCUUCAAGCAUGAAGAAGCAACUCUCUGUGCCAAACUUAAUUUUGGUUCAGUUUAAAGGUGAAUCCUGCAGUCAUUUCUCCUUGCCUAGACUUCUAUUUGCUUCUGGCAACACUGCAUCUCGCUUCUGCAGUGCCUCAGAUCCAGGACAGUCUCUGUAUUUCUAAACCAAAAGCGACAUGCAUCUUUUCUUCAAUGCAGUUAAAUCGUUAAAGAACCAGACAGGCUGAGAAGUACUACAACCACAGGAAUUAACAAUGUGCACAUCCAACAUUUCCAUAGAGAUACUCCCUCAACUCUGCAAUCAGCAACCCCUCUCCUCCCUGUUCAGACCUGUAUUUUCUCUGGCCCAGACACUGCACUCUAACUGCAUCCCACAUUGUUUUCUUGUGGGUUACAAGUCAGCAUCCCUUGUAGCUAGCUGGGAACCCUGAGGGCUGAGUUCUUGACUUUACUGCAGUGUUGGAGGGAAGGAUUUGUCAGCUUUCUCAUCUCAAAUAAGCCAUCAAUUAUCUUCUCUGGGUUUUGCUUGAUGGUGGUCAACAGAGCCAAAAGUUUCUCAGUGACAGCAAACUGUCAGGAUCAUUUCUUUAUUAAAAGUACCUAUGUUUUGGUCUGAAGGCCAUCGUUAGUGGUGCAUUAGUGAAAGAUUGUUUUGUUGCAAUGAUUUUAGUCAUUGUUUCAAGGAGAAUGCUGUUUAUAACUAGAACUUUUAAGCACUGAUCAUUACAGAAAGGGAGAUAGUGCCUAGGGGAUUCAGGAGGGUUUGAAGUACACAAAGGUGCAGGCUCACUUUUACAAUCCUAACAACCUUUCAGAAUACAGUUGUGCUUACCAUGCUCUUGAAUUACUAGUGCCAUUAAUUCAAAAUGAACUAACAAGUACUGUAAAAUGCUUACAUGCAUGCAACCACAGAAAGCAACAUUACAGAAAACACACCUUUACAAAAUCUACCAUUACACUAUCUGAACAUCUCACUUUAUGUUGUGUUAUAUCCGUAAGUCUUUUCCUACUGUUUAAACAAAAACAUCAAGGUGAAUUUUACCUUUAAUAUUGAAGACUGUAAGGCCCACAAUCAGUUGAGAUUCAACAGACUAUCCUUCCCAGCUUGCAUCACCACAGCCUUAAUGAUGAGAUGUCCUCUUCACAAGUUCUCAGCAUUGGGACCGAUGUGCUUGCAGAGAGACACAGAGCUUUAUUUUCCAGAGAAUUGUCAUGGCUUUGGAUUGAAAACUUAAAUCCAUCUUUGACAAUGUACUGUGUCUGGUUGGCAUGGAGUUAGUUUUCUUCAUAUUACACCGGGUUUUGGAUUUAUGGCUGAAACAGAGGUAGUAACUCACUGAUAUUUUAGCUACCUCUAAGAAGCGCUUGUGCAAGCAGCAUCAAGGCCUUUUGUUUCCACUCUGCCCUGCAGCAAGUGAGCUGGGAGUGACUAAGAGGCUACACAGGGAACACAGCUGGGACAGCUGACCCAAAGCAAUAAAAGGGGUAUUUCACACUAGUUAAGGUCCUGCACCGCAAUAAAACUGGAUUAUACUCUUUCUAACAUAGCUGUUGCCUGGAGAGUGGCUGGUCAUUGGUCUGCUGAUAGGAUAUAGCCUUUACACCACAUUUUUUGUUCUUGUUGUUCCCUUUUCUUCAUUUAUUAAACUAUCUGUACCUUGA